AGUUCGAAAAAGUAAUGGAUAAAUUAAACUAAAAAAUAAAAAUCUUUUUGAAUUAUUCAUUUACAACCUUUUUUGAAUACAGAAUCAGAAAUACGAUGACAAAAGGCUCGACAAACUCAGUUAGACUAUGAUAGAUUCUGACACCACCUAAAAGACUCAAUACUAUUGGAAAGGACUAGAUAGUAAAAGACAAUAUAAAAGUAAGGCAGGCUCAAAACAUAAAUAAGAAUCUCCUUAAGCAACUCCUGGAUGCAUCGGGCCUGACUAGAUGGUCCCGGGGUGUCUACCAUGCUCAAUCUCCGGUAAAUAGAUCCACACCUGUAUGAAAAACUAAAACCAAAUAGAGUUAAAGACUUAGAACAUUAUGUGACACAAUAACACUCCAUAUUGGACACAUGCAAUACAUGAUUGAGACUAUUUUUACAAAAUGGCUUAUGUGGCCAAAAAGUGGCUAGAAGUGCAAACUCAACAAAAGUGACCUUUAAGACAUGGAAAUAUUACUUGUAGAAAUGGCCUAUGUGGCCAAAAAAUGGCUAAGCAUGCAAAUUCAACGUAAUGGAUCUUGAACUGAGAGGACACCUUGUUGUGGACUUAGAACUCUAAGACAUGGGUUAAUUGAACCACUUUUGCAUAGCCCUAUUUUGCAAAACGACCUAUGUGGCCAAAAGCGGCUAGACAUGUAAAUUCGACAAGGACGGACCUUAAAGUAAAGAGACACCUAAUUAUGGAUUGAAGACUCUCUAGACACAAUUAAACAAACCACUUUGCGAAAAUAGGCAUAUUUUGCAAAAUGACCGAUAUGGCCAAAAGUGGCUAGACAUGCAAGAUUUGGCUACAACCCUCGAAGCCAAGAACCUAAGACUCACUAGGAAGAUCGGACCCUAUGUGGGUUGCCUACGUAUCCCGCCGCGAAAGACGAGAAUCAGGUAUGCGUAGUUCAGGAAGAUUGGAUACGGACGAGAAUUAAAAAUUAACAAAUAAUUUAGGGAAAAUAUAUAUUUUAUCUUUUUUGAAAAAUGGUGGAACAUGUAAACUCUUUUUGGAUUUUCUUUUUACUUUUUUUUAUUCCUUUUUUUUUGUUUUUGGAAAAUGAUGGAAAAGUGAAAAUCUUUUUGAAUUUUUCAUUUUUUAUUCUUUUUCUUAAAAAAAUGUGAAAGAAAAACAUAACUAGGCCCUACUUGCUUCAUUUUUAUAAUUCAACCUCUUUUCUUUCUCAUUUACCGUCAAACCUCAUUGGUCCGCCAAAUGACCCCUUUUACCCUUGAAGAUUGCAACAUGUAGCACAUUAGGAUGCAUCAAGAUAGUCUUUUAUUUUUUGGGUACACUUGUCCUAGACGGAUCCAACCCCUUUGUUGAGUCCCCUAAGUCAAAUGCACGUGAUGCAAACAAACGUUCUUACUAGGGAGCCGGUAUGAAGUUAUGUUAUUCUAGGUUUUAAAACUUGGGUAUAUUUGUUCUAGACCUGGCUUACCCGAGCGAACAGCUCGAGCUGGGGGGGGGGGGGGGCAGCGUACCGGGAAUACAGAAGCUUCACCGGCUUUGCAACUUGUUCGAACCUUGCUCUAAAAUUGGGAUAUGAAUCUAAUAGAAAAGAAGUCACAUGAAGUGUACACUUCCUAGAUGAUUUAGAAGAGUGAGAGAGAAGAGGGUUUCGAAACAAUUUAUAUAUAGUACAAACAAUAUCAAAGCGGUAAAAAAUGGCAUUUAGCACAUUAGGCUCAAACAUAUAAAAAUCAGAUAAUAAAUAAAGCCAAGUAUAACAAUUAUUCUAAGCUCGAAUUCUUGAACCCUGAACCAGACAUUUUGGGUUCUCGUCCCAGCAGAGUCGCCAGAGCUGUCACACCUCCUUUUUCUACCCCCCAACGGGUGUAGGGGAGUUUUUCCAAUUAAAGUGACAAUAAACAAAACGGGGCUAUUUAUAUCAAAUUCAGAGUUGCCACUUGGGAUAAUUUAUGGUAUCCAAAGUCACCAGUUUAAAAUUUCGAAUCGAGAAAAAUUGACUCUUAUUUAUGGUCUGCGAACACAAAAAUCCGGGUAAGGAAUUCUGUUAACCCGGGAGAAGGUGUUAGGCAUUCUCGGGUUCCGUAGUUUUAGAACGAUCGCUUAACUAUUAAUAAUUGACCUAAUUAUCUGAUUAAUUACACAUUUUAAACCUACGUGUAUUUUUAAACUUUCUAACCGCUUUUAAUGCUUAUAGAAUUUUUUUCUAGAACAAGUCACGAUUAUCGUACACUUGUCAUUUUGGUACACAUUGCAAACCGCGUCACAUGAAAUGCACCCGCGAGUUACAACAUGUUUAUUUUUAUUAUUAUUAUUCAAAAUUAUGGUAGGGUCAAAAUGCACACCCGAAGUGGGGCAUUACGUAGCAAAACUACGUCACGGUAAUCGUACCCAUAGUUAUGAUGAUUUUAUUAUAAACGCACCUAAAACAAGCUACGGUGUUCAUAAUUUAUUCUAACUUUUAAACCCAAGCCAAUUAAUAUCUUGUUCAAGUCAUUGGAGUCUUUAAUCCAACAAACUAUUCGAAGAACCAUUUUUAAGCGACAUUACGAAACAAGCAACUUCGAACAAAUGAACAGUCAUGUCUCAUUAGAGAAUUCAACAAAUGAAUUAAUUUUCGAAAGCAAGCAUAGGCUAAUGAACUAUAUAUUUCACUCAAAUCUUCAUUCAAUAAUUUAAGAUCAGAUUUGCAAAACUAUUCAAUAUAUGUACUAGUUCAACUAACGAAUCAUAAUCAACAUAAUAGCUACAAAGAUCAACCAAAGCAAGAUUUGAAAUACAAUUAGAACAGAAACUACUUACAUUUAAAAGAUCAAGUUAAGAAUGGACCUUAGAGUAGCAAAAUUGAAUUUCCUUUGAUGCUUUAAAAAUAUACAUGGACCUCUAAGCAAAAACCGAACAGAUUUGAGAGUCGUUGAUUGAUGUAUGAACAAAAUUAACACAGAGGAACCACCGACCAGAAAAUGAUACCGAGAAACUCGACACCCAAGCUCGAAGCUACUGCUCAUUCGAUUUUGGACUGAAACUCGCCGCCUUCCUCUUACUCUCAUUCUCUCUGUUUAUUUUCGGCGAGCUAGGUGAUAGAGAAGGACGGCUGCUGCUAUGGUGUUUAUGGAGAGAUGAUUGGCGGCUGCUGGUCUAGGUGGUGAAGAGGUGUGUCGUUUGGUUUCAUGUAGGUGGAGAAGAAAAAGGUCAGGGGUGUGAUGGCUGUAAAGAGAUGGAGGAGGUCUGGUUUUAUGGAGACUUUGCAGUAUAUCUCACAUGGUGAAAAUGGCUGCUUUCGUUCCUUUCCUCCUCUGUCUGUGCCUGUGUGCGAGUGUUUUCCGGGGGGCUGUUGUGAAUGGGAAGAAGCAGAAAUAGCGAUGGAUGAUGGCCAGUAGGUGAAGAGGAUGAGAGGUCACUGGUUGGUGUGAGGUCGUGGUGGUUGUUUUUGGUGGCGUUAGGGUUAGUCGCUGGUGUUCUGGAGGAAAUGAGCCGCUAUUCAGGGGUGUUCUCUAGGGUUCUGCUGUGUAAGAAUGGUGAGGAUGGAGGAGCUGGGCGGCGGCAGUUAUGGCUAACUACAGUGAGGUGUGUGGCAGUUUUUGGGUAAGGUGGAUUAGCUUUUUUGGUGGUGUCUUGGUUAAGAAGAUGAAGAAGAAAAGUUUUAGGUUUUUUUUUGUGUUUAAGAUCAUAAAUAUGGUUGAUUUUCUUAAGUCUAGGUUUUUUAG
rnacentral:lncRNA from 1 species